AUUCUUAAUACUGGGGGGAAAAAAGAAAUAUGAAUUCUUCUCCUCUCCCUGCAGUUUAGGAAGGAAAGACCAUGCUCUUUUCAAGACGGAACAGAUGCUUCUCCAGGACAAGCGUACGGAUGGUCCCUCCUGGGGUUUCCAGACUGGGCCAGCAUUCCCAGCCUCAAGGCAGCCAGCUUAGGUUUUGGAAGAAACAAACAGGCCCAGCCCUGGGACGUGAUUACAGGAAUCUCUCAGAGGAAACGACGCGAGACAGAGCAGAAAAAGAAGCAAUGAAGUCUGGCUGGUGACGCCGCAUAUAAUCCUGGCAUUCUGGGAGGCUGAGGCAGGAGGAUCCCAAAUUUGAGCCCACUUAGUGGCAGUGCUUCAAAAUAAAAAAUAAAAGGGGCUGGCGACGUAGCUCAGAGGGAAGGUCCGAGGUUCAAUCCCUAGUAGCACCUCUGGGGGAGGGGGAGAGCAGCCCCUCCUGCUACUUCUCUUUGUCUUCUCAUAACGCGUAACACUUUGGAAUGCUUUUCCCUGUUCACUUAUUU
rnacentral:lncRNA from 1 species